rnacentral:sRNA from 1 species
AGUUGCAACAUCCCCGUGGGUUGGGUGAAGGCCUGGAGCCGACACAGUGAAUCCACUGCAACU